CAGGUAAAGGGACUCGUCUAUUACACAUAUCCUUAUGCAAUAGUAGUUAACUUAUUAUCCGAACAUGUACAUUGAUUCUAAACAUCUCAACAAGUUUUUUUUUUUUUUUUUUGUUCUUCUUCUUCUUUUGGCUGGAAAAUCAACAAGGUUUUGCAGGAAAGCAUGAGGGAAAGUGAGUCAACCACAGCUUCGAGAGUGAAGUCGGAUGAACCAAGCCAAACUGCGCUCGGAGGUGAAGAAUCCGAUCGUUCAAGAAAACCUUCCGAGGCAUGAAGUGUUUGCUUUUAUGGUUGCCACCUCGUAUGGAUACUGUGUACAUGCUAUGGUGAUGGACACCAUUGCAUGAUGUGGUAAUCAGACCAGUGUGUGGAAAGAUUGUGUUUUUAAACAAAGGAUGUUGGAUAAUAAGUACAUAGAAGGGUUGUUUUCUUAAAUUAGGAGCUGUGGAAGAUUUGUUUUUACGCAUUUUAUAGUUUAUUUAAGAAUGAUAAUAUGUUUUGUGGUGUUCCGUAUGAGAUACUCUCGGGUUCUUUAACUGUUAGAUCUUAGUUAUUGUGAAACAAAGAUUUAACGGUUAAAAAACUUGAAGUAUCUCAAUACUCUGGAGGCCAGAGAAAAUUCCGGCUUGGAAAAGACAAGGUAAAAAUCCAGACCAAGCCGGCACGACCAAUAAUCCAGGACAUGGUUGAAAGCUAAACAACUAAACAAGGGGACAAGUAAGCCUGGGAUUUCAGAAUAUUCUGUUGUUCCUCUGUUUCCAACUGAAGGAAUUCAGAGCAUUCGUUAUGGAAGUUGGUCAAGUUUAUAUCGUUUGUCUGGUCGUACAAUUUACGUACCAUGGAAAAGGAUAGCUACUUGGUAGUAUUUAGUUUUCUUUUAUUUUUUUCUUUUCCUUUUAACAAACGAUACGAUAUUACAAAUAUACUUUUUCAAUCAAUUGUUGAUCCACAUAACAAUCCACAAUGAGUCAUAAUUUUGUAGACUCACUUUUCUUUGCAUCCGUGUGAGUCAAAAUUGAGACCUUUAAUUAGGUAAAAACCGGAUGCCGCUAGACCAACUAGCCAUGUGCAAUUAUAUGGUGGUACUAUACAGAAGUGAGCAAAUAUGAGACAAAGAAUUAGAUUCGUUAAAUUGUGGAACUUGUAUUUUCAACUGGUUUACAAUUUCCAUUACCAGGACCAAGUAGAUAUGCAACAAAGUCCAACAUGCUGACCAUUUUUUUGGUCAAUCAACAUGAUAUAUAACGCAAUUGAACUUGAUUGUCCAACUUUUUUACCAUUUUUUGAAACUUUUUUGGGUAUACCGAUUAACUUUUUGACUAGUGAUACUUCUCAACGUUCAAAAUUAGAAGAGCUUCAAAGGGUUUCCUUAAUUGUGUCUAGGUCAACAACAACACUUGCUACACAAAUUCACCUUCAAAAAUUGGUGCCCUUUUGUUCCAUAAGCCUAACCUAUUUCUAACCAAUAAACCAACCCUCAGAUUAUGGUACCCAGGUUUAUAUAACAUAUAUACACACAUCUAAAAAAUGGAAAAAAAUGAAGCAGAUUUGACAAAAACAAGAUUGCAUGCAUGCAUAUAUAAACAAUGGAAAAAAAUUCCAAGAGAGCUAUGGAUUACGAACAAAUUAAAUGUUGUAUAUGAAGUAAGACAUCAGGAAUCGUAGUGUAAACAAUAUGAUCGUUGAUACUGUUCAAAUGUAAAUCUACAAAUUACAACAACAGAAUUAAAGAACAGCAGCAGGUUGAUCCAUAUUGUUCCAAAGGUCGUCCAAGUCUAUCAUGAUGUCAUCACCAUCACAAUCAUAAAAUUGGGUGUAGUCAAGGUUAAGAAGUGAAUUUUGAUCCUUAUCGUUGAUUUCUGAUCAAGAUUGGAUGGACUAGUUGGUGAAGAAGCCGUAGUGGGAUCGGCUACAAAGUAGUGUGCUUGAUCAGCGAAACCAGACGUACCAGUCUGCGGCGGAUCAUAUUGAGAGGAAUCAGUACCACUACUUGGGUCUUGUGUACUGGAGUAGUAAUAUUGUGGCGUGUCCGUCGAAGCAUUAUUCACAAAACCAUUGUGCUGAAGGUAGUCUUUUUGUCUAGCCAUGCCUAGUGAGGAUGCCAUAGUUGGGUCUGCAAUAGAAUUUGGUUGGGAAAGACAUGCUGCUUCUGCAAUGAAAUCAUAUGGCCUCGCCAUAGCCGUCAUUGGUGUCAUUGGUUCUUGUGUAUCAUGGUAGUAUUGUGGCAAGUGCAUUUGCUGCUGUUGAUUGUCUGGCAUAGCUAGUGAUGAAGAAGCCACAGUUCGGUCUUGUGUAACAAAGUAGCGUUGCUGCUCAGUGAGCCCAGUCGGCAAGUUUGUAACGUUCGCAUGAUCGAUAGUAGUAGUUGUCUGCUCCUGCUGCAGUGGAAUAUCAUAUUGAUUAAUAACCUCAUAGUACUGUGCUGGCUCAUGAUAGGAGUACUGUGGCUGAUCCACAUUAGUCACAGCAAUACUACUACUAGUACUAGUUGCAUUAAUAUUAGUCUGCUGCUGCUGCUGCUGCUGCUGAUUGUAGUGAUCAACAUUAACCUCAGAAGACAUGGGAGCCACAUAAGAUUCAUCAAUAUUCUCUGAUAGCCUUUGAAUCUUGUUUCUCUUGGAUUGAACCACUCGAGUAGCCUCCUCGCGAUCAUGAUCCCGAUCAUCCGCCUUUCUCUUUCUGUCAUAAUUCUUUCGAAUCCGGCAGACUACAUAUUCAUCAUUAUUCUGACGACUAGUUGAACUUGAUUUAAUGUGCUUGACCAGUUUAGGGUCAAGGCUAAACUCGUGCAUAAUCCAGCAACCGCUUUCUUGACGAAAUUUAGUAUUCCUGUAUUGAAACCUUUUCAAGAAACCUAUCGUCUUCCCAGUCUUAGGAUCUUCGACUUUGGUCCCUGAGUUCUCGCCUUUCCAUGUCUCAGACCCUAUCGUGCAAGCUAUGCGGGAACCCGCACCCUUGGCGCUGGCUGGCUUCAGCUUGGUGAAGAAAUAAAGGUCUUCAUCCUUUUCUAAAUUUUGUCCGCCAUUGUUAUUCCAUGUAUCUCUUGCCUCCAUGCUACCAUAUAGAUCGAUCUCAGGAAUAACAUGCUCAUCCCUAAACGGUACACCACGAUUCCACGAACCUUGUCAUACAGAUAAUAUUCCACUAACUCUUCGUCUCUUGGAUGAAACUUGUAACCCACGGGAAAGUUAUUAGAAGGUGCCAUGCAUAAGGUAGGUAUAACUAGGUUUUCCUUGGACGUUCUUGACAAGAUGAAAUAUAUUUCUCGGGAGGGCUGCUGAGAGAGAUGGCACGUACGUAGUAGGGUUUAUUAUAUUAUGGAGGAGAAGAAAGUUUGUUUGGGGGUUUAAAGGGAUUCCUUGGAUCGCAGCGAAGUGGGUUUAUGUGAGCGAGUUGCUUGGUUGCCCUCCAAUAUAAAUAGAUGCAUAUUAGGGCACCGCCUCUCAAUCAUUUCCAUGUAAUUAGCAUGCAAUUUGAUUCCGAGUAAACUUCUAUAUACAUUAGGGUUUCAAUUAUAUAUAAGAAAUCUGUUUAUUAGAUUUGGAAAACUCAAGACUACUGAUAAUUUUGUGGAUAAUAUAUACUUGCAUUCCCCCUUUAAACGGAUGACCUUAUUUGCUCCCGUAAAAAUAAUGUAUUAACGUACAAAUUUUAUAAUCGAAACCGUUUAAUUUCUUAAUUUUUAUUUGAAGAUCACCCCUACCAAAAAUCAUUUGAAUCGGAGAUCAUUGAAUUGAAUCAUUCGAAUGUCUUGAACAAAUAAAUGAUGUAAGUACCAAGUAACAUAUUCAUGAAGAACUAUUCAUUUAUUUGAUAUGUUUGGAUGAUUAAACAAUUUCCGAUUUGGAUGAAUUUUUGUAUGAAUAAUUUUCAAAUAAUAAUUAAAAAAAUGAGUGAUUCCGAUCUUUGAGUUUAUAUGUUCAAGAUACUUUAUUCGCAAUUUCGCAACUGGGGGAAAUAAUAUGUGCAUCGCCUCAUGGUGUGAUGCAAGUGUCCUAAUUCAGCUAAUGUAACCCCAAAAAAAGUUUAAAUAAAUAAAACACCCACCUCAUUUUUAUUUUUUGGAAAUUAACACCCGGCAAAUCUAUUGUUUGACUGAAAAAUAAAUAAAUAAUACCCCACCCAUGCUAUAACCCUCUAUUUGGAUAAGAAAACUAAAUUGAAAAUUUGGACAAAGACAAUUUUUUUUUUGGAUUCAUAAACACAUAAAUUUAAAAUCGUCGUGUGAAACAAAAACUUGAAAUUUGGACAAAAUCAAUUUCCUUUUUUAGAUUUGUAAACACAGAAAUUUAAAAUUACCGUGUGGAGCAAAAACUUUAAGGCCUAUUUGGUAGUCUACUUGAAUCUAACUUUUUAAACUCAAAAACAAUUUUCAAGUUUUAGGCCUUAAAAACUUGUUUAGUAUGACUAUUUUCAAAAACUGAAUUCAAAACUAACUAAAAAAUAUAGUCUAUUUUCUAAAAACACAAAAAAUGAGUUUUUAGAGUUUUUAAACUUAAAUUCACUGGAAAUUUUAUUUAAACUCAUGUAACCUUUUUCUACACCAAACUUAAAUUUUAAAUGUUAAUUGUCUAUUUUACCCUAUUGCAUAAUCACUAUUAAGUACAAAAUGAAAUUAAUAAUAAAACUCAAAUUUCUCUAUAAACCAAGACACUAUGAUUAAACCCUAGCAUUACCCUUUGUUUAUCCUACGUCCAUUCCAGCUAAAACUCUAAUAGUUCUGAUAGAGAAAAACAAGCUUUUUUAUUGAUGGAUAGUGAUUUUGAAGUUUUGAAUCCUACAACUAAGAUAUGACUCGAUUUAUGGAUAUUUUGUUUGUUUGCUUCUUCUUUGGAUUAAAUUUCAUACUUAUUAUAUUAUAUUGUAUUUGUUUUUCUUUGUCGUCUGUUUGCCCCCAAAACACCAUUGCAUGGACUUUUGAUUAGUAGUGCAAGGACAUAUACUUGAUUCUUGGUGCAAAUAUCGUUUGCCCAACCUCAAAAACCUUGACCACUCACUAGCGGGUGGCAUGUCUCCAUCCAAACCAAAGCAUCAAGGUCAAAUGUUUUUCUGGCAAAGUGAUGGAUUGAACUGGAGCUUGCAUCGCAUUCUCUGGCAAAUUCAAAUCUAUGGAAGAAUCUCUUGGAUCUUAAGCCUAUGGAUGGGUUUGGAAGCAGAAGAAAAAAAAUCCAUGGAAAUGCUAGUCAUAUGCAAUUAUACAGGGGCAAUGGACGCCUCUUUGAAGAAAAAACAUUCAGUUAGACCAUCUCCAACCCUAACCUAAAACCUAAAAAUAUUUAGCCCAUAAAAUUUAGGUUUUAGCCUAGAAACAGCUUUUCUGCUCCAACCCUUCUGACCUAAAAUUUUAGCCCCAGAUUUAUUAAAGAAUGAAUUUAGGCUAUUUUUUUAAAUUAACUUUUUAAAAAAAAUAUGUAGACUAUCCUAAAUUAAUUUUAUGAACAUUUUAACCUAAAAAUAUUUAAAUUCUGAUAAAUUUUGAAAAAUCACUAAAUCAAUACAUGAAAAUCAUGAUAAACCACAUAAACUUAAUACAAAUGAUAUUUAAUAAACCACAUAAACUUAAUACAAAUGGUAGAAAGAAAAAUUGGAAGAAUUGUAGGAGAAAAGUGAGUUUUGUGUGGAUGUUUGAAUAAAUACAUAGGUAUUUAUAGAGUUUUUGGGUGAAUUUUGAGUUAAAUAAUUUUUUAAAAUUAUUUUAGCUGUUGGAUUUAAAUUUGGACCGUUAGACUUGAUUAUAUUCGAUCUAAGCCGUUGGAUUCAAUAAAUAUAUAAAUAUAAAACUAAAAAAAAUAUAAUUUGAACCUGGACCGUUGGAUUAACCAACGGCCCAUUUAAAUCCAGUUGUUGGAUAAAAAAAAAGUAGCUGUUGGGCUACAUAAAUGGCUGACACUCGGGGGGACAACCCCACGUGGGUGGGCUCGGCUGGCAGGGAUGCCUAGCGUUUGCAUCGCGUGGGCGACUGGGUUUUAGGGUGUGGUCUUCAUAGCCCGGGUUUCAAUCUCACCUUGUGGGGUCCACUCCAAUUUGUGGCCUAAACUUGGGUCGAUAUUUGGCCCCAGGAUGAAUUUUAGGCCAUGGGUUGGGUGAGUUUUGGGGGAGGAAGGGGAAAUUUAGGUUUUAGGUCAGGGUUGGAGUGAGCCUUAGAGAUGUUAUUUUAUAAAGGGAAUGAGUGUAAAGAUAACUUUACAUUUUGAAUUGGAUUUGAGAGGGUAGUUUAGGUAAUAAAUUUGGGUUUAAAGAGAUAUUAAUUCUUUAAUUAAAAAAAAUAUGGGUGAAGGGUGUAAGUUGAGUGUAGAAAGAUGUAAGAUGAGUUCAAAUAAAAUUUCUAUAAACUCACUCAUUUAUUUUCUCUCCCUCCUCCUCCCAUCUCACUCCAAAAUCUAUCUCUAUCUCUUUUCUUCUUUCUCUCCCCUCCUUUUUUUUGGGGUAAAAGACUGUUUACUACCCUCAUGUUUCGUGGUUUUCAACAUUUAGUACAUCAAGUUUUUUUCGUCUCAGAUUCAUACCUAAAGUGUAAAUUUUGGGACAAUCUCAUACAUCCAUUAGUCAAACUGUUAACUCUCCCGUAAACUGUGACGUGGCGCCCAUGUGGACACUGACUGGGCGCCACGUGUCAUCCACGUUUUUUUUUCUUCUUUCUUCUUCCUCCGACUGCAACUUUUUUUUUCCUCCUCCUUCUUCCUUCCUCCUUCUUCCCCUUCUUCCUUCUUCUUCCUUCUCCUUCUCCUUCUCCUUCUUCUUCCUCCGAAUCUGGGGAAUUUUUUUUUUCUUCCUCUUCUUUUUCUUCUUCUUUUUCUUCCUCCGAAUCUGCCCAGAUUCAGUUUUUUUUUAUUUUUUAUUUUUCUUCCUUCUUCCUCCUCCGAUUGCAACUUUUUUUCUUUCUUCCUCCUUCUUCUCCUUCUUCCUUCCUUCUUCUUCCUUCCCCUUCUUCUCCUUCUUCUUCUUCAUCUUCCCCAGAUUCGGAGGAAGAAGAAGAAGAAGAAGGAAGAAGGGGAAGGAAGAAGGAGAAGAAGGAGGAAGAAAAAAAAAAGUUGCAAUCGGAGGAGGAAGAAGAAGAAAAAAAAACUUAAUCUGGGCAGAUUCGGAGGAAGAAGAAGAAGAAAAAGAGGAAUGAAGAAGGAGGAAGGAGAAGGAAGAAGGAGAAAAAAAAAAAAAAAAAAAACUUCCCCAGAUUCGGAGGAAGAAGAAGAAGAAGGAGAAGGAGAAGGAAGAAGAAGGAAGAAGGGGAAGAAGGGGAGGGAAGGAGGAAGGAAGAAGGAGAAGGAGGAAGAAAAAAAAAAGUUGUAGUCGGAGGAAGAAGAAGGAAAAAAAAAACGUGGAUGACACGUGAUGCCAAGUCAGUGUCCACAUGAGCGCCACGUCACAGUUAACAAGAGACUGAACAAUUUGACUAACGGAUGUAUGAGAUUAUCCUAAAAUUUACACUUUAUGUAUGAAUCUGAGACGAAAAAAACUUGAUGUACUAAAUGUUGAAAACCACGAAAUAUGAUGGUAGUAAAUAGUCUUUUACCUUUUUUUUUACCUUUUUCGUCUCUCCUCCAAUCCGCUCUCUUCAUUCUCUCGGUUCUUUCUCUCACCCCUCUUCCUCUCUAUCUCCUCCAAUCCUCUCUCUUCUUUCUAUUUCCUCAAAUUAUCUCUUACUUUCUUUUUUCCUCUCUCCUCUUUCUCCCUCUCCUACAACCCUCUUUUUGGAUCUCUUUGUCCAGUUUAAGUCAUAAGAUUUAAAAAUUUUAAAUCACAUACCAAUCAAAUUUUUUAGUCUUAAAGAAUUUGUUUUUCAAAAAAUGUUUUAAGAAAUGAUGAAAAUUUUCGAAUAGGAUACCAAAUAGCUCCUUAGAAAUUUGGAACGAUGAGGAUUUUUGGGCGAAUCCGCAAGCUUCCGGGCCUUGUUGAGGCCCUCCCGGUCGAAUGAAGCAGGAUUCUUUGACAUGUGUGAUCGCAUUCCCUCGACCACUUCCUCCUCACCCCGUCUCCCUCCCUGCCUUCUCUGGCAAACCCUCCGACCCCCUCUUCAACUCCACGUACGUAAAACCCACACCAACGUCGUGCAGUCCAUAUUUUUUUUAUCAUCGUAAAAGAUAUAGAAUAAAAACAUGCAUCAGCAGAGGGAUGUGAAAUUUCAAAAUCAAACGAAGAAAUACAAACAUUGGUUGUUUGAAUAAUUUACAAGUCACUCUAUUGUCCAAAAUUGUUCAAAUGGAAGCAAAAACCACGAAACUCCCUCCCUUUUCGUGCAGGAAAAGUUCACUACAUUUCGAAAAACCAAUGUAAGCUUCCCUUCCUUUAGCAAACCCUUUUGCAAAAGUUCUCUCAACUUUAAGGUACAGAAAAUAACACAAUGAAUGAAUGCAGGUUGAAAGAAUUUAAGGCCAAAAUUUUCAAAAUCUAUAAUAUGAAUAUGGGAAAAAGAACCCCUGGCGGAGGUAAUUAGUCGAAGAAACAUUUUCACCAAAAUCUGGGGUUGGGGCGAACAAGAUCAUUAGAUCCUGGGACUUCAAUGAGACGAUUAGAAGGGAAGGGAGGUCGCAAAAAUGGGAUGUGACUUGGUAUUGGGGAAAGGCUGCUGUCCUGUGGCCAUAAACGGUGGAGGAACACAGAGCUGAAAAGCUUGGUUUGGUGCAGUUCCUGCAUUAAAACCGAGAAACGAAUCCUUGAUCAUGACAGUUAAAGAAUUCGCAAAACAAAAUACUAUAAUUUUAUUACUCAGUUUUCCUUUUUCUAAGAAUUUAGAUACUUGGUUUUCUUUUCAUUACGUAUGGAGCAUAACCAAUAAUUUAGUCAAAUAGUCAUCACAAUGAUUCUUUACUUCACCAAAUUUUUGUUUCCUUCCUUGUUCAAUUAAGAUUCAUCGUAAACAUAAUAACUAGUUCAUACCUUGGUGCUUGGGAAACUGGACCUGAUGUGGAGUCAACACAGGACGAGCAGACAGUGGUGAGAUUGCCGUUGCACCCUGCACCAAAUCCUUCAAUAAAAAAGGAAGGCAGAUUAAACAAUUGUAAAUAAAAGAUACAAAAACCAUCAUGAAAGUCAUAUUUUGUUGUCUUUCACUAUCAUUGUUAUUUCAUUUCAAAGAAUGUUGGGACUCAUGCCAGUAGAAUGUAUCAACAACCAACAGGUAUGUCUUAGUCAAAUACAAACUCAAUGCCAGUCCUAAAAAGCAUGGAGUUACCACUUCAAACUUGAUUAACGAAAGAAAUCAUAUCAAAAGACAGCUUUAAUCAUAGGAGUUUUCGUAUGCCAUAGUAUCUUACUUGAGAAACUGGAUGCACGUAUACAAGCUGCCCGAAUCGUCCAACCAUAACCUGAGGGUUAGUGAAUCAGAAAAAGGGAGUAAAAAAAUGUAACUGCUCAAAAGAAGUUGACAUACAGAUGGUAUAAUAUCCUUCAAUUACUUACAGCUUGAGAAUUGGGAUGAACAUAGGGAGGUGCAGCCUGACAGGAUACUGACCAGCAUACCUAAGCGUCUGUGCCCUGCUCCCCACGUGUCCAACAAUCUAUAAUCAGAACAAACAACCUAAGAUCAAUCCUAACUAGUGCCACAACACCUCUGUCAUAUAUUAUGUAUUCAAUAUUUCUAUUUAUUUUAACAAGACAUGUACCGUGCUUUAAACCUUUGUUAGUUUAACAAAACACAAACAUACAUCUAUGCAUAGACUCAUCAAUCUCCUACUCACCAACAAGCAUUAAAUCCACGCUCACCAACCUUUGGAUCAAACAACUGCUGAUAUUCAAAAAGAUAUUGUGUACUUUUCUUUUCAAAAUAAAUAUCAACUUGAUCAAACAAUUGGUGAGUGGAUUUUCGUUUCCACUAGUCAGUAAACUGGAGAACACACACACUUAUAUUGGUGGUGAGCUUCAAGUGAGUGAAGCUGAGCCUUUAUAUAUGUAUGCACAUAUGAACACACGGUAACUUUGCCAAUUGCAACUACUUACAAGGAAAGCUUACAUUAGUAUCAUAUAAUAACCAUAUGAAUUCGAUAAUGACUACAAUACAUACAGGUUGUGAAAAUUGAGAGCCACUGCCACCAUUUCCAUUUGUGAAAUUAUUAAUGGGGACCACCUUAAAAGGUAGAGAGGUACGAGAUGCAAAAGGAUUUGAUCCAACGCCUGGCUGAGCAGCAGCAACAGGUACCAUGGGGGAGUUGUUUGGUAGAUAACCCAUGCUUCCCACUGUUGGCAAUGGGGGAGGGGUUGAUGUCGUGGCCUUCGUAAACGAUGGUGAGAAUGUUUUUGCUCCUGGGUUGAGCUUAAAUUCCUAAGAAAAAAUGCCAAAUAAUAUUAAUGUUAUCAACUUGGUUAUGUAAAUAGCAUACACAUCAUGAAUUUCUAAAAACUUAUUUAUGUCACCCGAUAUAUUAACUAGAGUAGUUGGACUUGGGAUCGCCAGGCAUUAAGGUUUCCAUAGUAUUAGGCCACAAAAACCAUAAUCUAUGAUAACACAACUACCAACAGAAUUAACACAAGGUUCUUAGGGGUGGUUUGAGAGUGAGGUGCUUAAAAAAAAAGCACCCAUGAAAAAAAGCUGUGAGGGUUUUAGGUGUGGUAAACUGAAAAAAAAGGGCUUAUUUUGGAAGCUGCUGUGAGAAUAAGCUGAAAUCAAAGGAAAAAGCUGAAGCUGCUAUUUGCAGCUUUGGAAAACUGACUUUUUUUCAAAGCACACGGAGCUACAGUGCUCCUUUAAUGAAAAGACCCACUAUCAGACUGCUUUUUUUUUUUUUCCAAAAGCACUUUUACAAAAAAGUUUACCAAACACUCUGCUGAUUUAUUUCACAGCCGCUUAUUCUCAUAGCAACUUUUUUUCAAAGCACAGCAAUACCAAACCAGCCCUUGGUGGCCCAACGUGUGGUGCAUAAAUAGAAGCAUAAACAGAUGGUCAACCAUUCUAAGUUAAGAAUAUGAAACAAUUUUGUCCCAAAACAUAUAUACUGAACCAAUAUGAAAUCAAUUGAUAAUUCAAGAUGAAUUGAACAUGGUUCAUCCAAUGGUAGUUUUACCUUGGUGCUUCUAGUAAAUUCUGAACCUUGAGGAGGGACCAUUUCAGUUGAAGUUGCCACCAGAUGGCCAUAUGAAACAUCCACGGCCGGAUUCAAUGAAGUUGUGACACUUGAAGAAACAACACCAGAUGAAAUGUCUGCUGAAGUUGUCCUUUCACAACAUUGAUUUUCUGUAUUAACAAUUACAGUAGCAGGAUCAUGAGAUACUCCGUGAGGCAAUAACUUGGAUGGGAUCUUUGUAUCAUGAACUUUAUCAGCCUGCAUAAAAAAUUUGCACUAUUAUCAUAUAACAUGAUUACAAUGUGAGAACAAUCUUGGCAGAGGUUAUCUUUACAUACACUUUCUUCCCUAUAAAACUCAUGUUUCUGUUUGAAAUCAUCCUGUUUCCCUGAGGACCCAUCAUCUUCAACCUGUCUGCCAAAAAAUUGACCGGAGCCUGAUGAUUAAAAGAAAAUAAUAGCAGACAGUACGCAAAAGUAAUUAUUGUAUGAUAAUAUGAUAGUGUUGAGCACAGAUAGCAAUUAAUGUAUGAUAGUAUGAUAGUGUUGGACACAGAGAGCAACCAUGCUGGCAACCAUGUUUCUGUGUCACAGAUAUAGGAGAUUAUCCAAAUUGGAUAUGAAUAGCUAAACUCCAUGCCAUAACAGCUGGUAGAGUUUUAUCAGCACGUGAGCACUCCUGAUACCAGUGUCAAGGCAGAGAGCUUUAGCACCCAAAGUGUCACUCCCCAAGUAUGAAAUAAUAUUAACAGAAAUAAGAAUAGAACCCAUACCUCCCAUUAGGGGCUUCUUUAAUCUGCAUUGGAAAAAAAAUAAAGUUGUAAUAAAAACCUGAAAAUGCUUUAUACAACUUGCGUCCAUAAAAAAACACAUACUCGGCAUCAUGGACCUAUAUAAGAUAUUCUAAUGCCAUUUCAACUCAUGUACUUAGAGAUUCUUUUUAAAUGUGAUGCAUUUAACUCAUGUUAGAAUAGAAAAAUAUUUGUUGGUCCAUCCUAACAAUUUAAGUGUUUGAAAAUAGUGGUAAAGCAACCACACUGUUCAUUAUAUAGAGUCGUUGGUAUGAUUUGGUUGGUCUAAUCAGCACAAUGCCCAUUAUUGUGGAAUUUUAAGUCACCCUACACAGUGCACAGAGAGCAGGCACCACAUGCAACUUAAGGUGAAUUCGGGAGUAGCUCAAAGAGUACAUGGAUUAUUUGGAAAACAUUUUUUAGUAGCCUCCAACAUUAAGAAUAUCUUUAAGUUGCAAUGAGAAAGUGUGUGAAGUUAGGAACAUUAUACUUGCAAACGACAUAGGCCCCCAACAGCAAAAGUGUUAAGAAGGCGUGAUCAGGGUUCAAAUCCCUGCAAUCACAACCUUCCAAUCUGUGUUGAGUUCUACCAGUGUGUUAAGAACUUAGGAUUCUCUAGUGGUGAAGAAAAAUUCAAAUAUGAUAGGGAGAGCUAUAAUAUUAAAAUAAAAAUUUGGUCAAUUGCUCACCAUUUUUAACUUUUUACAUAGAAAUUGAUUAUAUCCACUAACUAUUUAUUAUAUCGACUGCUUCUUCAAAUAAGUUUCUAAAAACAAAGAAUCUGGUGCAGUGAUAGCCAUAAGGGGGUGCUAAAAUUCUUAUGAGGGAAGCAGAAAGUAAAUCAUUUAAUUUUACGCCAACCAGUUUUUAAACUCUACAGUUUAGCUUUUCUUUUUAUCCUCUUUGAUGUUUACAAGAUUUUGCCAGUUUUAUUAAAGCUAUAAAUCACUAGGAGAAAAAGAAAAGGGCUUUUGCAGGAAGGCUCACUGAAAUGGUGAAUAAGCAUUCUGCUUUCAUUUUUAUGACGUGUCAACUGCCACAGAUCAAUUGAAUUCAUUUUAUGCAACGUUGUUGCAUUUUUAGGUGUUCUUGAUUUUAUUUCAUACCCAAUUUCUAUUUUAGUUUUUCCUUUCACAGUGCUUUUUCUGCAUAUAAUUAGAGUGCUAAAGUUGGCCAUGUUUUUGCUCCCUUCAAUAGAUUAUAGGAUUUUUCCUUAUUUUCUAUAAAAUGAAAAACAAGCUCGUAAAAGAUAUGGAAUAGUAAUAUAUGACUUAAGAAAUAAACUAAGCUUAUAAAGUAUAUAGAUAGAACUAUGCAUAUAGAAAAUAGUUACCUCUGACAAGUUUAUCCCAUCCAUUUUUCCAUUUUUAACUUCCAGGGCAUUUACAGCAUGUUUCAGUGGAAAUUUCCUCCCUUCAUGCUCCUUUACAGCUCUCUUUGGGGCAACACCAUGAGCAAGGCCAUUUCCAUUUUGCAUUGGGCCCCUGCUUACAUAGGUAAUUAUGAAUACAUAACUUUACACAAAAUUGAAUUUACAAUAAUAACUGAGGUGCGUAUUUAUAUAACGGUAUCUGUUCCAGCAGGUUAAACAAGCAAUAGCACAAGCUAUCUGCCAGUACAAUCAGUUGCUAUGCUGAAAAACUCUUGAUAUUUUCAGUUGAAACGAACUAACAAAAAACUUCUUUGAUCCCCAAAAUUUAGAGUCACAACUUAGUGCAGAUAAUUGUACAUACAAGUUCAACACUCAGAAAAUACCUAAAACCAUCCAUUUUCUUCUUAUUUGUGGAAGAAUCAAUUGACUUCUUUCCAUCAUUCUUUGAGCACACAUCAGAAGAAACAGUAUCCAUAACAGCUUCAGUUUCGUCGCUAGCUAUAUUUCCAGUAAUACCAUCAGCUGGAAGCAAAACUCCCUGAACGAUGUACAAAGAGCCACAUUUAACUAAGACAGAUUGCUUAAGUUGAUUCUGAAACAAAAAAAAGAAAAGAAAAAAGAGGAAUGAAAUGAAUUACAUACCAUAGCAACAACUUGGACAAGGUCACUGGAGCGAAUCACAAGAGUCUCGAUCAGUGCCCCAUUUCCCACAUUAGCAUCACUCUUCCCCUUUUUGGUCAUCCUUGCUUUCUUCAAAACAAUACCUAAACAAGACAAAAACUGACUCAAUAAAUCUUGCUUAGAAUCAUGUGCCUUGAGUGCUUGUGUGUGAGAGAGAAGGAUAAUUGUAAGUUUAUAACACACCAACCGUGUGUAUUCAGAAUUAAACUGCCGGAUAAUCUAAUUAAAGAGCACGAACGCCACAUACUCAGCGGUUAGACAAAAGGAUCCAGUCUUUCCAAAUCCAAUAUAACAACUAAAUCUCACAGCCAAAAUUCCAACUUUUCUAUCCUCCUGCGCAUUCUCAAUAAUUCACCCUUGCUCGAUGAAAAUCAGAAGCAAUCAUGAACAAAACCCGCUAUAAACCCGAGAAACCCAAUAAAACAACCCAGAUCAAAUACCAUCUUAUCCUUUCCAUCCCAAACACAACAGGAUCACAAUAACCACACAAGAAAACGAAAACCCAGAUACAGUUGAGCUUAAUAUUGAAAAUUCCGAAACAGUUUUAAAAAAUUCACCAUUUUCAAAAACGCAUUGAAAGGAAAACAAAAGCUCAAUAGAACAGAAACGCACCGUACUCAGUCUCCACAGAGGCAGUGUAGAAGAUUCCAGAAUACACAGAACCGUCCUUGACGUGGACAUCAACUGGGAGGCCAAUGAUGCACAUGGUGGCAAAGAGCAAGGCCUCGCUUAGCGAAGAAGAAGAGGACGAAGAGACAGUCUCGUCGUCUGUGAAAUCUCUGUUUCUGCAACCCAUUUUUCUAUUUUCUCUGUCUUUUUCCGAUCCAACCGAGGAAGUUUUGGCCUUCUCCGUGUCUGGUUGCAGUCAGAUUUUGGAGGUUCGAUAACGAGGGGAAGGGGAAGAGAUCUGAUGAAGCUGCCGCCAGGGAAUUCGAAAUAGGAAUAUCGCUUUCUUUUGCGCUUGUGUCCCUGUUUUGUAAUGAUACCAAAUAUUUAAGAAAUUCCCUUCUUUUUUGUUUCUUCUUUUUCAUUUUUUAUCCCUCACUAUCUAUAUGCUCCCAAGUUUUAUGUUUUUUUUUUUCCAAAUGUUUUUUAUUUUAUUUUAAUUCUUUUUUGUGUUUCUCUUAAUAUUAAUUUAAACUAUAUAUUAAUAAAACUCUCUUUUUCAAUUAAAAGAUGAUGACAAUACAUUUUUAUCUUCUAUCACAAAAAAAAAAAAAAAAAUUAUGAACAGUAACAUAAAAUUUAUUUUUAUUUUUUUUGUUGUAAAUCAUCACUUAUAACUGAUUUUAUUAUCUCUAAUUAAAAAUAAAAAUAAAAAAAAUAAAAAACAAACCUCUCCGCCUCUCUCCCCACUCUUAGGUUCUCUCUCUCUUUUCCUCUCUUCUUUAAUUUAAAAAAGUACAGUAAACAUUUUCACACAAACUUCAUAUGUAGGCAUGUACUAGUAUUAUUUAAAAGCAAUAAUGCUUAGCAAUAUUUUGUUCAAAAAAAAAAAACUUUAGCAAUACAACUUGAAAAAAAAUAUAGGGUUCUUCAACUCAUUCUCAAGAGACAUCAAAACAAAGAGCAUAGACAUCGCUUAUAAGAGUAAACCUGCUUUAGUGAUGAAUUCCAACAUAAUCUUUGUAACGAAAAGCUGAGAUGGUUUGGAAAGAAUCACACCUAACCAAAAUUAGAUAAAAACCCAUGAUUCGGUUGCAUUUUUUGUUUUUUUUGGUUGCUAAAAUCAUAACGACGAAGCUGGUGGUGGCAGCCAAGGUUGGUAGGGGUGGUAGUGGAAAUGAGGAUGUGUAGGGGUGAGAAGGUGGUACAAAUGGUGGAGCCUAAGGUGGUGAUGCUGGCGGGUAAUGACGUCAAUAGAGAUGAUGCUAUGGUGGAGUUUGACCGAGCUUCCACAUUAGUUUGAGAGAAUUUGAUACUUACAUAUAAAAAUGAUGUAGCAUAAAUUUGAUACUUAUAACACUAUUGCUACACAUGAGUUUAUAAUUGUGAGAGUAAAACUUUAGAACGCAACAAUUUAUAAGUAUCACACUCAAAUUUUGCGGUCUAAUGUAAAGAGCGUGAUUCUUAUAUGAGCUAAAUAUAUUAAUCACACUCACUUUUUCUGGCCUGUAGAAGGCUGCGAUGGCGUUUAUAGAGGUAGCAGCAGUAAGAGUGUGAAAGUAUGGAAAUAGUGAAUGGAAAUAACAUAGCAAAUAAGCCUGAACAUAAACAAACACGAAUAUCCGCUGCUCAAUAUAUAAAACUGCAAAUAACAAACAUAAAGUGCAUCGUAUCCCGAGUCUCACUCGGGGCAAUCAAGGGUGGGAAGGAAGAACACAAAAGAGAAAAAGAAAAUAAAGAUUGAAAGUUGAUAUGCACUCCACAACAUGAUACAACAGCAGCUCGAUGAUACCCCCAGCUUUCAACAUAUGAGGCAGGCAGCUGCAAAUCACUGCAACGGUGGAAGCAUAUUCGCAAUCAUGAACAAGCCUAAUUCGAUAUCAAGUAACAAAACUGCAUUUAAACGAGUGAUGAUAGUUACCUGCUGUUGCUGUUGAUAUGCACCGGGCUGCUGGUAGUUUCCAUAUCCAGCAGCAUAGCCUCCAUAAUACAGGGCAGGGUCUUGGGCAGGAGGAG
rnacentral:lncRNA from 1 species